rnacentral:rRNA from 1 species
CACGUAGGGCGCAAGCGUUGUCCGGAAUUAUUGGGCGUAAAGAGCUCGUAGGCGGUCUGUUGCGUCCGCUGUGAAAACUCGGGGCUUAACCCCGAGCCUGCAGUGGAUACGGGCAGACUAGAGGUAGGUAGGGGAGAAUGGAAUUCCCGGUGUAGCGGUGAAAUGCGCAGAUAUCGGGAGGAACACCUGCGGCGAAGGCGGGUUGCUGGGCUGACACUGACGCUGAGGCGCGAAAGCUAGGGGAGCGAACGGG